AAAUGAUUUCCAAAUUCAAUGUUGGAAAAGUGAUAGUACCUACCUACACAGGCAUCUGGGGGUUGGAGGAGGUAUGGGCCAAUGGCACAAUCAGCACUCAAGGAUUUCUGAAAUUAAAUAAGCUCAUUCAGGGUCCCAAGUCUCAUUGGAAAAAAAAAGAAAAGAAGAAGAAAACACACCUUUUAUAGUAAAAAAAUUAUUCUGUCCAAUUAUAAAAUUCUCAGCCCCCACUCAGUAAUCAAUAAGCAUCUCAAGCUAUAUAUAAGAAGUUUAAACCUUAAGAAGAAAUAAACAAGCAAAGCAUAGAGAAUAGACUUUAAUUUUAAGCUAUUUAAAAUAGUAAAAAUGUCUGCAACUGAGGUACCUUCUUCAGCGCAAGCCUUCCAAGAGCAAUUCCUUGGCAGUUUUGUCUCUAGAAAGCUGCUUCUGCAC
rnacentral:lncRNA from 1 species